ACAUGAAAGGAAGAUGGUCUAACCUACCGGCGGAUGAAAGGUCAUAUAGAAGAGAACUAAGACAUCUUAGCUAAGAGCCAGCACCAAUUCCCAGACACGUAAAGGAAGCUGCCUUGGACUUUCCAGCCCAGCCAACCUCCUAACAGCCACAUGAGUAAGCCCAGGUGAUCCAGUAGAGGAACGGCCCAGCCAACCCUCAGAAAUAAACAUUCAAGUGCUGUGAAUAUUCCCAUCGAUGUCUGAGUGUGACUGUCAGAUGGUUAUUGACUGAAAGCCAGCAGUAGUUGGCAAAAAUUAUGUCUCAACAGUGCACAUCAAGUGGGCUUCAAGGGGAGAAAUCUUCAGCUCUCUCAGAUUAUCUGCUUUAAUGUCAAAACCCCAGCCUGAGGAUUCCCUCUGCCUUUCCAGCUUCCUUAAAUGUCCAAACACCUAAAUCUUCAAGUCUUUUUUGUUUUGCAGUUGUCAUCUGAUUAUAAUAGAGAGUGAGUUCUUUCUAUAAUCACUCCCAAAGUAAGACAUACUAGUCUGCUUUAUAUAAUUCUGCAUGUGCUCUAAGAAUUCCAGAAGUUUCUAAUGCAGGUAUGAAGCAGGGUGGUGCUACUGGGAGCCUAAAAAUGCUGACUUGACAAUGCAACAGUUAUUUACUGAGCAUCUACUUCGUGAAAAGCACUGUGAGUAAUGCAAAGAUGACCAUGAUGGAGUUCUCCACUCAUAGGAAAGACAGAUUACAUAAAAUUAUAAUAAAAAUUAAAAUGCGCUAAGUGCUAAUAAAAACUCACAGUGUAGGGGAGACAUAGUUUGGGACACACGACUGUGGGAUCAGAACAAUCUUCUUAUAGGAGACUGCAUUUGAACAGAAGAAUGACAUGAUUAAUAAUUAUGUUAGAAAUAUGCUUUAAGAAGCUACUUUGGAAGCAGAUGAAUUGAAUGAAGGAAAAAUCAAAGGAAGGAAAAUAGUGAGGAGGCAUUGCGAUAUUCCCAGAAAGAGUCAAAGAGGGCAAGACUCAGACAGCGGUGCUGGUAAUGAGGAGGAGACGACAGUGUGAAACAAGGAGAGAUACUGAGUCUGGAAUACAGAUUUAGGACUCACCAGCACCCAGGUGACUGCUGAAACCUCGGUGAGAGGUCAGAUCGACAAAGGAGAUGGGCUGAGGGAAGAGAUCCAGUCCCUGAAGAAUGUUUAUAUUUAAAAAAUGUUUCAAAAAUGGAAGAAGAGACAAAAGAAAUGGAGAAGGAACAGACACAGCUGAAAGAGAAUCAGGAAAAUACGCUGUCACAGAAGCUUAGAGAAGAUAUAGUCUCAAUAAGGUAAAGAGGAGUCAACAGAACCAGCAGGUGCAGAAAGGCUGAGGAGAGUGGACAGAGAGGACAACACAGGACUUAUCAAUUAGGAACUUGUCACUGACCACUCAGACACAGAUUUCAGUGUAAUGUGAGGAUGAAGCCAGACUGCAAAGGUUUGAAUGGUGAGCAUGAGGAAAUGGAGGCAGUGCAGACAGUCUGAGAAAAGGAAGACUUUAUAGGUAGAGAAGACAAACUUCAGAAAAAAAGAGAAUUGGCAAAUAAAAGAUGGAGGAUAUAACUAAUGGCAAAAGGCUCUGAAAGAAGUGGGAAAGAUGAAGGAGCUGGCCCCAGAAAGAAGGAGCACCUUUCCUCCAAAACAAUUGGUCUAGAGACAGUCCCUCCUUCUCUACAAAGUUUCCCAGCUCUUGGCAGAAAGAAAGAACUGGUGGUGGCUAAGAGGGUGGGGAUGGUGUCACAGCAGAGGCCAUUUUAGUUAGAGCAUCCAUGAACAAUGAAAACUAAAGCACAGACCUGGGCUGGGGGGAGCUCAGGUAUGGAAGUCUGAUCACAAACUUAUUGUUACCCACAAAUUACUGGAAUCUUCCUAGAUUCAAGAUUACCGAGAAUCUCUCCUGCUUAGACUUCACACUGUGUCUGGUCCUCUUUUGGGGGCCUAGGUCCUUCGGCAACAACCACAGCUUAACUCUAUGGAUCUCAUGUUAUUCAAGAAAUCUGUAUUUAGACUAGAAUCCCAAACUUUCAUCUUGGCUUCUCCUUAUUUUCUCAGGCUACAUGGUGGCGCCUCUGUCCACUAACUGAUAAUAUCCUCUUUAUCAAGAGAAGCUUCUUGAAUCUAUAACACAUUCCAUUGGCCUAACCGAAUUCCUAGUUCUGGUCAAUCAAGACUCCCUGACUGUAUGCUGGCCACAAGCCAGAAGAAGGCCCAAGUGUCCUCACCUGUAAAAUCUUAGGUAACAUCCAAAAGCACUAGGUAGCAUCCAAAGGUCUAACUAGCUUUAAACUCUUAUGAUUCUAAAUCAACAUUGCAAGGAACUUUCGUUGUUUUCUUGUGAUUCAGGAUUUCUCAGCGUAGCAUUUCCUUAUGAGUAUACUUAUUCUUUCUGAACCAGUAAGUAAACUUGAGGUUUUAGGCAGAAAGAAUGUGAGAUGAACAACAACGCACAAUUUUUAUCAACA